rnacentral:tRNA from 1 species
CCUGGUGGCUCAGUGGUUAAAGCAUCUGCCUGCAAUGUGGGAGACCUGGGUUCGAUCCCUGGGUCAGGA